rnacentral:rRNA from 1 species
GACGAACGCUGGCGGCGUGCCUAAUACAUGCAAGUCGAGCGGACGGAUGGGAGCUUGCUCCCAGACCGUCAGCGGCGGACGGGUGAGUAACACGUGGGCAACCUGCCUGUAAGACUGGGAUAACUCCGGGAAACCGGGGCUAAUACCGGAUAACUCUUUCCCUCACAUGAGGGAAAGCUGAAAGAUGGCAUCUCGCUAUCACUUACAGAUGGGCCCGCGGCGCAUUAGCUAGUUGGUGAGGUAACGGCUCACCAAGGCGACGAUGCGUAGCCGACCUGAGAGGGUGAUUGGCCACACUGGGACUGAGACACGGCCCAGACUCCUACGGGAGGCAGCAGUAGGGAAUCUUCCGCAAUGGACGAAAGUCUGACGGAGCAACGCCGCGUGAGUGAUGAAGGUUUUCGGAUCGUAAAACUCUGUUGUCAGGGAAGAACAAGUACCGGAGUAACUGCCGGUACCUUGACGGUACCUGACCAGAAAGCCACGGCUAACUACGUG